rnacentral:rRNA from 1 species
CCUACGGGAGGCAGCAGUGAGGAAUAUUGGUCAAUGGACGAGAGUCUGAACCAGCCAAGUAGCGUGAAGGAUGACUGCCCUAUGGGUUGUAAACUUCUUUUAUAUGGGAAUAAAAUGUUCCACGUGUGGGAUUUUGUAUGUACCAUAUGAAUAAGGAUCGGCUAACUCCGUGCCAGCAGCCGCGGUAAUACGGAGGAUCCGAGCGUUAUCCGGAUUUAUUGGGUUUAAGGGGAGCGUAGGUGGAUUUUUAAGUCAGUUGUGAAAGUUUGCGGCUCAACCGUAAAAUUGCAGUUGAAACUGGCAGUCUUGAGUACAGUAGAGGUGGGCGGAAUUCGUGGUGUAGCGGUGAAAUGCUUAGAUAUCACGAAGAACUCCGAUUGCGAAGGCAGUUCACUGGACUGCAACUGACGCUGAAGCUCGAAAGUGUGGGUAUCAAACAGGAUUAGAUACCCGAGUAGUC